rnacentral:rRNA from 1 species
AGAGUUUGAUCCUGGCUCAGAUUGAACGCUGGCGGCGUGCCUAACACAUGCAAGUCGAGCGGUAACAGGUGUAGCAAUACAUGCUGACGAGCGGCGAACGGGUGAGUAAUGCUUUGGAAUCUUCCCAGUAGUGGGGAAUAACCAGUCGAAAGAUUGGCUAAUACCGCAUACGUCUGUAAAGGGAAAGCGGGGGCUCGUAAGACCUCGCGCUAUUGGAUGAGCCAAAGUCGGAUUAGCUAGUUGGUGGGGUAAUGGCCUACCAAGGCGACAAUCCGUAGCUGGUCUGAGAGGACGACCAGCCACACCGGAACUGAGACACGGUCCGGACUCCUACGGGAGGCAGCAGUGGGGAAUAUUGGACAAUGGGGGAAACCCUGAUCCAGCGACGCCGCGUGUGUGAAGAAGGCCUGCGGGUUGUAAAGCACUUUUAGUGGGGACAAAAAGCUACGGACUAAUACUCUGUGGUCUUGAUUUAACCCAAAGAAAAAGCACCGGCUAACUCUGUGCCAGCAGCCGCGGUAAUACAGAGGGUGCGAGCGUUAAUCGGAAUUACUGGGCGUAAAGCGCGCGUAGACGGUUUUGUAAGUCAGAUGUGAAAUCCCUGGGCUCAACCUGGGAACUGCAUUUGAGACUGCAUGGCUAGAGUAUCGAAGAGGGAAGUGGAAUUUCCGGUGUAGCGGUGAAAUGCGUAGAUAUCGGAAGGAACACCAGUGGCGAAAGCGACUUCCUGGUCGAAUACUGACGUUCAUGUGCGAAAGCGUGGGGAGCAAACAGGAUUAGAUACCCUUGUAGUCC